CUGAAGGCCUCAGAGUUACUCUGAGAAUCAGCCCCCUCCCACACAGAGCUCCACAACUCACUCAGGCGAUUCAGGGUUGCACUGUUCAUCUUGCUGGAGAUGCUGUUGAAGUCGGGGGACCUCCCAGCCCAGGCUCUCUGGGUGUUACUUAAUCACUCAGGAACCUGAAUGUUUUGCAGACACUCCCACUGGGAGCCCGCAAGCUGAAUCUGGGGCUUGGACUUGGGAACGUUGCCUGAGCUUGCUGACCCGCAGACCUGUGGGUUGAACUGGAUGUGUUCUGUUCUCGUCUCCGGCUGUCCCUACGCAGGAAGAGGUCGACUGUCCCCUUGCUAACACCUCCAUAUACUACCACGGCCCUGCAUAGGAAACAGACUGGAGGACUUGAUUUCCCAGCAUGUGAGAAGGGAGUGGCCCUGCAUCUACCCGUGCACCUCCACUGCCUUACCCUGGAGAUGGUCUUGUUGAGCCACCCGGUGAUCCCCGAGAGGUCUGCUUCCAAGCUGAAUAUGCUGCCGAGCCCUAUUUGGGGAAGAAUCUCUUCCAGGUUAUAUGUGGAGGAAACGGAAAACCUCGGCAGGUGCAAGUCGAGCAGGCUGCAGAGAGAAUCAGAGAAAUGUACCAUCUUCCCUCAUGGAGUGUCUGGGGCUGGACCCCCGACGGCGCCUGGCAUGGCCCCUGUCCUCCUCUCCAUCCCCUUGUGGAAGGCUCUCGGGAGUGGAGUUUUGAAUGGCUUCACUGAUGGGAUCCACAGAUGGCUGUGCGAAGUCAGUGCUGGUAACAUUUCCCACCCCCACAUCUCAUUCACCUGCAAUUUCUGCGGCUCAACCUCCAAAUCGUGUCCUCACUCCAUCUCCUGGCCUUCCCCUCGCCCAGGCCACCACCAUCUCCCCCCUGUCUGAGCUCGUUUCCUCGUCUGUGAAAUGGCACAGAGAUGCCCACUCCACGGGCUGCUGUGAGGAUCCCGUGGCACAGCAGGUGUGCAAAAUGUGAGUCACAAAUGAACAGGUCACUCCCUCCUGCCACUGGGCCUCCUGGGCUGUCAGAUGGCCACACUUCCUGGGGUCAACUCAGAAGAUUCUUCCCACCCACAGUAAAUCCAUCCUUUUCUCCUUGGGAUUAUUCUUUUCUUAAUCAUUGGUCGAUGAUUGCCAGGCCACCUACGGAUUUGACUAGUUAAUAACUAAUUUGGAAACUUAUGUCUCUGGAAGAUCAAAGUUAGGUUUAUCAUUAUUGU